rnacentral:misc_RNA from 1 species
GGAUGCAGUACUAGAACU